rnacentral:rRNA from 1 species
GUGUGUGAAGAAGGCCUUAUGGUUGUAAAGCACUUAAAGCGACGAGGAUGCUACUUAGUUAAUACCUAGAGAUAAGUGGACGUUACUCGCAGAAUUAAGCGCCGGCUAACUCUGUGCCAGCAGCCGCGGUAAUACAGAGGGUGCAAGCGUUAAUCGGAUUUACUGGGCGUAAAGCGCGCGUAGGCGGCUAAUUAAGUCAAAUGUGAAAUCCCCGGGCUCAACCUGGGAACUGCAUUUGUGACUGCAAGGCUAGAGUACGGCAGAGGGGGAUGGAAUUCCGCGUGUAGCAGUGAAAUGCGUAGAUAUGCGGAGGAACACCGAUGGCGAAGGCAAUCCCCUGGGCCUGUACUGACGCUCAUGCACGAAAGCGUGGGGAGCAAACAGGAUUAGAUACCNCGUGGUAGUCCACGGCCC